AUAAAAACAUCUACAAUAAAAAUAAUCACUCUUGACUUCCUUUGUAGUCAAUGGAGAGAAACAAACAUUUGUGGAGUGUGACUCACCUCAUUCCAAAGUAGGUGUCUAAACUAGUUUGGGUGAAUCAUGUUGUAAAAAUGCCUAAUUCUCUACAUAAUGAGAGCCUCUGGUGACAACUUCAGAUAUAGUUUACUGCACUGUAGAAACCCUCAUCCAAAGGGAGAUGAAUAGAUUUUCUUCUUAGGAGAUCCUAAGAGUAGAUAAACUACCACUUUAGUCCGGACCAUCACCAACAACUGAUGCCUGAGACAACAUACUUAAAGAAAAAUGCAAGAACAAGAAACUUCAGUGCUCCUGAUGCAAUUCCAUGAAGCUGCCAAUAUAGGAUCCAAUUUACCAGGCAUGCUGUACCGCAGGUGCAGAGAUAAGAGUCCCAGUUCUGAAGUUUUGUUCUAAAUCUUCAAGUCUGACCCUCUUUCCUGACCCAGGAAGCCUAACCUUCUGAGGCUGGGGUUUGAGGAUAGAAGAAUGUGAAAUACAGAAUAG
rnacentral:lncRNA from 1 species